AGAAGAAGGUUUUAAUGAAACCGAAACGGGUCUUUCGGAAUGGGAACCCACACUACAAGAAACACGGCGUUUAGCUACACUGGUUUAGCCACUUCAUAUCAGAUCCUUACGAAUGUGGCAAAAUCACAAGUGGAUUACUAUUUUUUUUUGCUGGGCAGAGUGAUUCGAGCUUCUAAUUUGCGUUUUGCGUGCUCUAAAUCAGUAAAGUAGAAAAACUGUUUUCCCCGUUUAUGUAGUCUAAGUGCGAAUCGCUUUAAGUUUUGUGCGUUCCAUAUCUAGCGCUAAAGAUAGCUUCAAAUCCUUCGUCUUCCUAUUAAGUUCUCCUUCGUCUUCCACGUUCUGUUCACUAUCGUCCUUCUUGCAUUCACCUUUCUCUAUUCAAGCUUCUUCACUUUCUUCUCCACCUUCUGAUUCGAAUUCAAGGGUUUUGAUAUUGAAGUUUAUUUUUUCAAACGACUUAACUUUUUAAGCUGAGAACUAAUAUGUGGGUUGUUCAUACCAUCAGACUCCCAAAGCAGAGUAUUGUGGCGGAUAUCCUUGAUGAUCUAAAAACAAAGGUAGCUUUGUGUGAUUUUUGCUUUAUGGCUUUAUUUGAUUUUUUUUCCAUGUUUGCAUGUUUUGUGCUGUUGUUGUAGGGUUAUGUAAAAACAAAGUUGAAUUUCACCAUGCAGAGUAUUAUGUGCCUUGUUAGAAUUUAGAAAACUAUGACUUUAACAGCUUCACUGUGUGAUCUGGAGCACUAUUUCUAGAUAAAAAGAAGAAGAAGAAGCUGGUUUAGAUGAGGAUCCUGAAAUCAAGCCAUUGAUGGUUAUAACAAACAAUCAUGCAAUAGAGAACUUCGUAGAUUAAGUGCCAUUAGACCAGAAUUAAUUACCUCAUCUAAAGAUUCAAGGAGGAAGGAUACUUAUUACGGAUUUUAGCACUACUUGGAGUUUCUGUAGCAUCCUCCAAUGCAGAUGCAACACACUUCUCUGCCAGUGCUGCUUUCGGGAAGAGACUUAAAAUUGACUGAAUGCAGAACUAGUUAAUCUUUGCACAGAGUAGGAUCAUGGCGAUGGCGUGGAUAGCGUUGACGGCGUUGGUGCUGCACACGGUGUUCAGCUGGUUGCUCAUGCUGAAGCUAGGUUGGGGACUGAUGGGUGCUGCGGUGGUGCUCAACUCGUCGUGGUGGUUCAUAGUGGUGGCUGAGCUUGUUUAUAUAUUGAGUGGGACAUAUGGUGAAGCUUGGACUGGAUUUUUCUUCCAAGCCUUUCAGAAUCUUUGGGGUUUCGUUCGUCUCUUACUUGCUUCUGCUGUUAUACUAUGCCUUAAAGUCUGUUCGUUGGAUAUCCAAAGAAUGCAGAAGUUUCAGUCGAUGCUUUGUCUAUAUGAUUCUUGCCUCUGCAACAUUUUGCUUCAAUUUGCUCCUUUGACUCCAAGUUAUCAUCUCAUUCUUCUCCAACCUGUUAUAAGACUCUGUAGAGAUCCAAGGUGGGGACGAUGUUAUGAAGUUAUAGUGAAGAUCAUAAAGUAGUUCAAGCUAUGACUGAGAUCAUUUCAGGAUUGUAAGGUGAAAUCCCUGCAAACUCACGAAAGGGUGUUCCGUUUGUUGGUGGAAAGGGAUUCUCUUGACAGGACCACCGGGAACUGGAAAAACUAUGCUAGCCAAGGACUGUAGUUUAGUAAUGUUCAUAUCAGAAAAGUAAAAAAAAAGUAAGUGUAUACAUGUUAGGAAAUCUGGUUUAGCAAUUUAACUUAUGGAUUGUGGCAUAUAUGAUUAAUGUAUGGGUUUAAGUCACUACAGUUUUUUGUCAUCUCAAAUUUUUGUAUAUGAAACUUUUGUCGUACAUUAUUUUAAAAUUCCAUACUUGUCCA